rnacentral:rRNA from 1 species
AGUGAACGCUGGCGGUAGGCCUAACACAUGCCAGUCGAACGGCAGCACAGUAGGAGCUUGCUCUUACGGGUGGCGAGUGGCGGACGGGUGAGGAAUACAUCGGAAUCUACUUUUUCGUGGGGGAUAACGUAGGGAAACUUACGCUAAUACCGCAUACGACCUACGGGUGAAAGCAGGGGAUCUUCGGACCUUGCGCGAUUGAAUGAGCCGAUGUCGGAUUAGCUAGUUGGCGGGGUAAAGGCCCACCAAGGCGACGAUCCGUAGCUGGUCUGAGAGGAUGAUCAGCCACACUGGAACUGAGACACGGUCCAGACUCCUACGGGAGGCAGCAGUGGGGAAUAUUGGACAAUGGGCGCAAGCCUGAUCCAGCCAUACCGCGUGGGUGAAGAAGGCCUUCGGGUUGUAAAGCCCUUUUGUUGGGAAAGAAAAGCAGCAGGUUAAUACCCCGCUGUUCUGACGGUACCCAAAGAAUAAGCACCGGCUAACUUCGUG